rnacentral:tRNA from 1 species
GCGCCAUUAGCUCAGCGGUUAGAGCAGGGGACUCAUAAUCCCUUGGUCGUUGGUUCGAACCCAACAUGGCGCACCA